UGCACUCUCCACUCACUCCUCCACCUUAUCUACUCCCUCACACUCUUCUCCUACCUCUCCCCACGAGUUGCUGCUCCUCCUAAGCUCCAUGGCCGGCCAUGGCCAUGGAAAACACUCCAAGAUGAAGCUCCCUCCUCCCUCAAGCUCCUCCUCACCAUGAGAGCAUCCCUCUCCUUCUUCUCACCAACCCUAGAUGGUUUUAUCUCCUCUUAUUCUUCCUCCAUUGCUAAGAUUGGAUCAUGAUGCAGGUGCAUGUUGGUCCAAGCAUGGAGAAGCUUGAGCUAUCCUCAGAUCUGAAGUUCUUGAGCAAAAUCCAAAUUGAGUGAUUCAAAGUUUCACAGAUGUAUAUUGAAAAGAUCUACAACUUGGCAUUGGUCUCAUCCUCAAAUUAGUUACGGACUCGCCUCGGUAAAUAAAGUUCUGUAAACAUGCAGAACCACUGUUUGUUAGAUUUGUUCCGUUUUAAAAAACCUUUUUGAGCAAACUCAACUGUGGGUGAAAGCCCUCUUCAGUACCUUCAUUUUGGCGUCGGUUUUACUUCAAAUGACCUCCAGAAACUGAAAUGGUUCACAGAUCAAGAUCUGGUCAGAUCUGACUUUGUCGAAUUAAACCAGGAGCUUGGAAACGAAUUUGUGAAUGAAACAAAUUGGGUAAGAACCACCUAUUCAAUACCUUUCAGAUACAGAUGACCUCAUAUUUUUAUGAGUUUUGUACGAUUUUUGGUGAAUUAAACUUGUUCUGUGUGUUCUGCAGACAUGGCUGUUAGCUUUUAAAUCACCAAAAAUCCAUCUUUGAACCUAAUUGAGUGAUUCCAAUUCUGUAGGACUACUGAAUGUUUUCUUAAUCAUCUCAAGCAAGUUUCAAACAUUUAUCUAUUAUGAAAAUCCAGAGGUAAAGCAAAUGGUAAAGACAUACAGUAACCUUGUCAAUCCAUUUGUGAGAGUUUCAGAAACAAUUUGAACCCAAAUCCAAUUGUGUAUGCAUCUCUGUUUAAAAAUCUUUCAAAUGCCAGUGGUCUCAUAUUUUUAGGAUUUUGCUGCGAUUUAUGGCUUACAGAUCUUGUUUUCUGUACAGUCAGAUUCAAAGAAAUUCCUAAAUUUGUAGGAUUAAUAUUUUUGGGUGAAUCCAAAUGGGUUUGUCUUGUAUUAGUACUGGCCAUCUAGGAAAAAUACUGUUAGUCUCUAUUCAUGCAUUUUGGUUACUGAUUUUAACAUGUGUGUGCUAUAUGAGUUGUUGGUCCAAAACUUUUUGGUUUAUUUAAAACCCUUGACCAACUCUUUUAUUUAGAACUGGGCAACCUUUGUUUUUUUUGCUUGCAAAACAAAACCUCUGCAACUCAACUUUAGCUCUAUGGUUUUUCUUAAGUUUUCAAAUGAUCUGGAAUAUGGUUUGCUUCCUAUUUUGGAGGUAGUGUUAUGUGAACAAAUUAAGUUAGGAAAAUUGUUUUCUACUAUUCCAAAAAUGUUUGAAAAUGUAUUGUGAAUGUGUUUGAUGCCAAACUAAUGCUCUUGUCCUCUUUAUGAUGUCAUCUACUAGGGGAUGUUUGGUUUAUACCAUGGUGAUAACCGAGAGAGGCAAUUGCUAAGUUGUGAUGCACUCAUAUCUCUACUAGAUGCGAACAAUUCCGGAGAAGAAGAAGUGGAAUCGGACGAGGAUUUUAUUUAUGAUUGUUGGGAUUCUUAUAUUGAUGGAGUUGAAGAAGUCCGGGGACAAAUAAGCCAAGGCAAGCCAUCUUUUGAUCUCUCAUUCGGUGUCUAGUUGGAUGUCCUUUGUUGAUGUUCAAAGCACCUUGGUUCUAUGUGUGUUGUUCUCCUUAAUAUUGUCAUCUAUAUUUGGUUGCUAGUGGAGUACUCCCUAGUGGUGAUACUCCACUACUGUCUUUGUGAUUAUGGGAUGCAUGGUAUCAUGUCCGUGCUAUUCCACUUGGUUAUCUUGUAUGCUCAACUUGAGCAUGUUCCAUCUCAAGAUAGUAACUUACACCACACCCACCACUCUUGUAGUCUAAAGGUAUCAAUGUCAUGAUCUUGGCGUUUUCUCAACAUUGAGAGAAAGAUGUUGUGUACCCUA